GCUGUGUGUUUUUCUUCUGAUUUUUGCCUUACCAUAGAAAUCUUCUUUACCAUCUUUGCUUGAGCUUGGGCUCGCAUUUGUUCAACUUGUGCCUCUAUUCUCCGCAUCUCGGCCCCUAGUUUUGCCUUCUGCUGACUUUCCCAUGCUUGAAUUUUAAUCUCUUCACCUUUAUAUCUUGCUGUGUGUUUAGAUUUUUCAGCUUCUUCCCAGGCAGAUGCACGUUUUUCAUAUUCAAUCCGCUCAAGCUCAUCCACAUGAGCACUCUCAACUGCAGAUGUAUUCUUUUCCUGUUCUUCUUUACUUGCCCAUGCAGCAAUAUUCAUCUUGCCUAGCUGGACACCUAGGGCCACAAUCUCCUUUCUUGUCCUCAGUUUCAUUUCUUGCUCGGUCAACUCUUUU
rnacentral:misc_RNA from 1 species